GCCAUAUUACAUUGAGCUACUAGAAUUUUCAGGUCACUGAUAUCCCUGGUAUCGUGAGGAGGCAUGAUGGUAUGACUCAGGCCUUUAUGUUUAAUAUAGGUAUCAUUGCUCUUGAAGGACAGUUUCAUCGAAUCCUUCCCCUAUCGAGAUCAACCAUUUAUGAAGCUCUUCCUGGACACACAGCUCUUCUCUGUACAUACAGAUUUUGUACUUCCUUUCUUCCAAAAUGAAUAGGGUGAUGUACACACAGAAUAGUUCUAUUGCAAUCUGUAUUUAUAAUUAUAUGAUUAUUAUUAUUCUUAACAUAAAAUUUUUGUUUAAUCAUAUGCCAUAGUAGAUGUCACCCUUCUCCUUGCUGUGUUACAAA